GACGAACGCUGGCGGCGUGCUUAACACAUGCAAGUCGAACGGAAAGGCCCUGCUUUUGUGGGGUGCUCGAGUGGCGAACGGGUGAGUAACACGUGAGUAACCUGCCCUUGACUUUGGGAUAACUUCAGGAAACUGGGGCUAAUACCGUAUAGGAGCUCCUGCUCCAUUGUGGGGGUGGGAAAGUUUCGGCGGUUGGGGAUGGACUCGCGGCUUAUCAGCUUGUUGGUGGGGUAGUGGCUUACCAAGGCUUUGACGGGUAGCCGGCCUGAGAGGGUGACCGGCCACAUUGGGACUGAGAUACGGCCCAGACUCCAACGGGAGGCAGCAGUGGGGAAUAUUGCACAAUGGGCGGAAGCCUGAUGCAGCAACGCCGCGUGCGGGAUGACGGCCUUCGGGUUGUAAACCGCUUUCGCCUGUGACGAAGCGUGAGUGACGGUAAUGGGUAAAGAAGCACCGGCUAACUACGUG
rnacentral:rRNA from 1 species